CCUACGGGUGGCUGCAGUGGGGAAUAUUGGACAAUGGGGGGAACCCUGAUCCAGCGACGCCGCGUGAGUGAAGAAGUAUUUCGGUAUGUAAAGCUCUAUCAGCAGGGAAGAAAGGAAUGACGGUACCUGACUAAGAAGCCCCGGCUAACUACGUGCCAGCAGCCGCGGUAAUACGUAGGGGGCAAGCGUUAUCCGGAUUUACUGGGUGUAAAGGGAGCGUAGACGGUUACGCAAGUCUGGAGUGAAAUGCGGGGGGCCAACCCCCGGACUGCUUUGGAAACUGUAUAACUGGAGUGCAGGAGAGGUAAGUGGAAUUCCUAGUGUAGCGGUGAAAUGCGUAGAUAUUAGGAGGAACACCAGUGGCGAAGGCGGCUUACUGGACUGUAACUGACGUUGAGGCUCGAAAGCGUGGGGAACAAACAGGAUUAGAUACCCGGGUAGUC
rnacentral:rRNA from 1 species